GGAGGAGCCCUUGGCGGAGGCGGAGCCCUUGGCGGAGGCGGAGGCUUUGGUGGAGGUGCAGGCUUCGGCGGAGCUCAAAGCACUGGCUUCGUGGGCGGAGGAGGACACCGCGGCGGAGGUUUGGGUGCCGGCGGUCACCGCGGCGGAGGCUUUGGUACAGGCGGUCACCGCGGCGGAGGUGGCUCCUACGGGGGCGCGGGUGGACUCGGAGGAGGUCUGCUCGGCGGGGCAGGAGGAUUCGGCGGCGGCGCUUCGCUGGGUGGAACGGGAGCCUUGGGCCAUCAGUUCGGAGGCUUCGGAGGAGGCUCGGCCACGGGAUCCGCCGCCGGUAACGUCGUUUCGGGUCAGACGGCAGGCCCGGCUGGCACAACUUCAAUCACCAGCGUCGGCUCCAGCGCUAAGGGGUCGGCCUCGGGCGGCGGCAGCAGCUUCAACAAGGCACACGCCAAUAACGCCCAGCUCAGUGGCCUCCUGGGGCAGCUCUCGACCUCCAACACUGGAGCCGUCUCGCAUCAGAGCGGUGGGGGAGGCAAAUAUUGGUAGUUAACAGCUGGCAAUCACAACCAGCACCAGACAAGCGCUCGAUACUGCUAACCAGUAGCCGACCAAGAGCAAGAUCCAGCCGGCGGAGGGCGAGCUUGUCAAACGCGGGCUUUGAACACCAAUCCCUCCUUGGAAACGGCGCGCUUCGGCGCACGUUCGAACCUUCACCUCAUAUGACGACAACUCGCAUCAGCCUGCCGAGGAAUACACGAUGGAUGAGA